rnacentral:misc_RNA from 1 species
UGGCUCUCGCAUCGAUGAAGAACGCAGCGAAAUGCGAUAAGUAAUGUGAAUUGCAGAAUUCAGUGAAUCAUCGAAUCUUUGAACGCACCUUGCACUCCUUGGUAUUCCGAGGAGUAUGCCUGUUUGAGUGUCAUUAAAUUCUCAAAUCUCAAUCAGUUUUAUCUGACUUGGGACUUUGGAUGUGGGAGUUUGCAGGUUUCUCUGAAAUCUGCUCUCCUUAAAUGUAUUAGUGGUUACUGAUUGACCAUAUCCUGGUGUGAUAAUAUCUACUCCAAGGGUUGGUUAGUAAUUUAAAGAGUAACUGCUUCGAACAGUCCAUUAACUUGGACAACUUUGAACCAAUUUGACCUCAAAUCAGGUAGGAUUACCCGCUGA